AGUAAAAGUCGUAACAAGGUUUCCGUAGGUGAACCUGCGGAAGGAUCAUUACCGAGUGAGGGCCCUUUGGGUCCAACCUCCCACCCGUGUUUAUUUUACCUUGUUGCUUCGGCGGGCCCGCCUUUACUGGCCGCCGGGGGGCUCACGCCCCCGGGCCCGCGCCCGCCGAAGACACCCCCGAACUCUGUCUGAAGAUUGAAGUCUGAGUGAAAAUAUAAAUUAUUUAAAACUUUCAACAACGGAUCUCUUGGUUCCGGCAUCGAUGAAGAACGCAGCGAAAUGCGAUACGUAAUGUGAAUUGCAAAUUCAGUGAAUCAUCGAGUCUUUGAACGCACAUUGCGCCCCCUGGUAUUCCGGGGGGCAUGCCUGUCCGAGCGUCAUUGCUGCCCUCAAGCCCGGCUUGUGUGUUGGGCCCCGUCCUCCGAUUCCGGGGGACGGGCCCGAAAGGCAGCGGCGGCACCGCGUCCGGUCCUCGAGCGUAUGGGGCUUUGUCACCCGCUCUGUAGGCCCGGCCGGCGCUUGCCGAUCAACCCAAAUUUUUAUCCAGGUUGACCUCGGAUCAGGUAGGGAUACCCGCUGAACUUAAGCAUAUCAAUAAGCGGAGGA
rnacentral:rRNA from 1 species